UUAAGGCUUCGAAUGGACUGUGGAGUAAUGGUAUGGAUAUUAUAAUAUAUUAUUAUAAUAUUAUAAUAUUAGUUUAAAAAAAGCAAAAGUUUUCGAAUUAGAUUAAGCUUUUAGUUUCAGAGAUGGGUUUUGUCCUCGAGGAAUCAGAUGAAGGCUUCGAAUGGACUAUGGAGUCAUUAAAUUAGUAAAGAUGAGGAGUAAGAUCAAGAAAGCAUCGGAUUCAAAACUAUUAACAAAAUGAAAAUGAAAGCUCACCACUCACCAGCAGUUGUAGACAGAGACGAAGAAGAUGACAGAGCAGUUGCAGUCGGAGAAAACGGAGACGACGGAACAGUUGCAAAUGACAGUCAAUGGUGAUUCGUGAAACUCUCCCAAGCAGAGUGAUUUCUAAGGUUCGUGAGAAAAAUUGCAGUUGUCAAUGUGGAUUGUGGCAACAAUGCAUUCCCAUAUCCUUUUCAGGUUUUUCAUGUUUUGUUCUUUGUAAUUUUCAUUGUGUGAUAACUAUAAGGAACCUCCUAUAAGUUUAUGAUUUUUUGUGAGUUUUCAACAAUGCAGACCCCCUAAUUAUUAUAGCGUGCCCAAGCAAAAGGGUAGUACUCGAUGAAAAUUUAUAGUUGUAUUCCUCAGCUUACACCACAGUUUAACAGCUAUGAAAAUUAAGAGUUUUCAUAAUUAAAGUUCUAAUAUAUGCUCAUUCAUUUUGCAGGUUCAUAUUCUAGAAUAUAUGAUUUUUUUUUUCCAAAUUCCAACAAUUUAUUUCAGUUACACUUUCACCCAAGGUAAAUAUCACUAAAGUUGCUAAUGCUUUACCCAUGCUCACUAUAAACAACCGCACAGGUACUUUUCUUUCCUUUUGAUAUAAAAACCGUUUAAUUCUACAAUAAUUUUCUUCCUUAGUAACAAUGUUCAUUGCAAGCAUAACAGUUAUAAAACAAACAACUUCCACUAAAUUCAUUUUAUGAUGAUUCAAUUUCAGGUUUGAGAAAAUACUGAUUGUUUCCGUUUGAAAUUCUGUUGAUUUUCUAUUCAGGUUGAACCAAAAAGUCUCCAACGUGCCAAUUUUCAUAAUGGCGAUGUUAAGGGGACAAGUCAAUCAACGAUAUACCAUCACCUUCAAUGAUUGAAAGCUUUGGCAUGUGCUUGGGAUCUAGAUGAAAGCUCUAUCAACCUCUCCCAUGGUUUUUGUCAAUUGUUAUUUUCAAAGGUUAUGACAGUUCGUGCUGGCCUAGAAGAAAUUUUUAUGAUUAUAACGCCAUCAUCCAAUAUUACUAUUGUACAAGAUUCCUGAUCAACAAUAGUAAGUAUGUUACAAUUUUUUUUUAAACGCAUCAUAUUAAAUACAUUUAAAAACCUUUUACAUGUUUUAUCGCUUUUACAACAUGCAGCAACAUGCAAGCAUUAAUAC